rnacentral:rRNA from 1 species
AGAGUUUGAUCAUGGCUCAGGAUGAACGCUAGCGGCAGGCUUAAUACAUGCAAGUCGUGGGGCAGCAGGACUGUAGCAAUACAGUUGCUGGCGACCGGCAAACGGGUGCGGAACACGUACGCAAUCUACCCAAAACUGGUGAAUAGCCUUCCGAAAGGAAGAUUAAUACACCGUAACCUAAUUGUAGUGGCAUCACUAUAUUAGUAUAGCUCCGGCGGUUUUGGAUGAGCGUGCGGCUGAUUAGAUAGUUGGUGUGGGUAACGGCCCACCAAGUCUGCGAUCAGUAACUGGUGUGAGAGCACGACCAGUCACACGGGCACUGAGACACGGGCCCGACUCCUACGGGAGGCAGCAGUAAGGAAUAUUGGUCAAUGGACGCAAGUCUGAACCAGCCAUGCCGCGUGAAGGAUGAAGGUCCUCUGGAUUGUAAACUUCUUUUAUAGGGGACGAAACCUCUUUUUCUAAAGAGACUGACGGUACCCUAGGAAUAAGCACCGGCUAACUCCGUGCCAGCAGCCGCGGUAAUACGGAGGGUGCAAGCGUUAUCCGGAUUCACUGGGUUUAAAGGGUGCGUAGGAGGGCAGGUAAGUCAGUGGUGAAAUCUCUGGGCUCAACCCGGAAACUGCCGUUGAUACUAUCUGUCUUGAAUACUGUGGAGGUGAGCGGAAUAUGUCAUGUAGCGGUGAAAUGCUUAGAUAUGACAUAGAACACCAAUUGCGAAGGCAGCUCACUACACAUAUAUUGACUCUGAGGCACGAAAGCGUGGGGAUCAAACAGGAUUAGAUACCCUAGUAGUCC